CCUACGUGGGGCAGCAGUGAGGAAUAUUGGUCAAUGGCCGUAAGGCUGAACCAGCGAAGUCGCGUGAAGGAAGAAGGAUCUAUGGUUUGUAAACUUCUUUUAUAGGGGAAUAAAGGUAUCCACGUGUGGAUCUUUGCAUGUACCCUAUGAAUAAGCAUCGGCUAACUCCGUGCCAGCCGCCGCGGUAAUACGGAGGAUGCGAGCGUUAUCCGGAUUUAUUGGGUUUAAAGGGUGCGUAGGUUGUUUUUUAAGUCAGCGGUGAAAGUUUGUGGCUCAACCAUAAAAUUGCCGUUGAAACUGGAAGACUUGAGUGUGUUUGAGGUAGGCGGAAUGCGUGGUGUAGCGGUGAAAUGCAUAGAUAUCACGCAGAACUCCGAUUGCGAAGGCAGCUUACUAAGCCAUAACUGACACUGAAGCACGAAAGCGUGGGGAUCAAACAGGAUUAGAUACCCCUGUAGUC
rnacentral:rRNA from 1 species